rnacentral:lncRNA from 10 species
GAAUCGGUUGUGGCGGCCGCCGGCGAGGAAUGGCGGUAUUUGUGAGAGGAGUCGGCGUUUGAAGAGGUGGAACUCCUAGGGCUUUUUUGAGAGUGACGGAGUCUACCUCUUGUUACCUAGACUGGAGUGCAGUGGCACGAUCUCGGCUCACUGCAACCUCUGCCUCCCGGGUUCAAGCGAUUCUCCUGCCUCAGCCUCCUGAGUAGCUGGGAUUACAGCUGAUUUAGAAGAAUACAAAUCAUGGCUGAAAAUAGUGUAUUAACAUCCACUACUGGGAGGACUAGCUUGGCAGACUCUUCCAUUUUUGAUUCUAAAGUUACUGAGAUUUCCAAGGAAAACUUACUUAUUGGAUCUACUUCAUAUGUAGAAGAAGAGAUGCCUCAGAUUGAAACAAGAGUGAUAUUGGUUCAAGAAGCUGGAAAACAAGAAGAACUUAUAAAAGCCUUAAAGGACAUUAAAGUGGGCUUUGUAAAGAUGGAGUCAGUGGAAGAAUUUGAAGGUUUGGAUUCUCCGGAAUUUGAAAAUGUAUUUGUAGUCACGGACUUUCAGGAUUCUGUCUU